GACGAACGCUGGCGGCGUGCCUAAUACAUGCAAGUCGAACGAACAGGCGCUGAUUUUGUUCGUUCCUCGAGUGCCGCACACGUGUGUAUCACGUGUGUAACCUGUCCUUGUCUUUGUGAUAUCUCUUCGAGACAGGGGCGAAUACCGCGUAUGAGCUCCCGCUGCAUGUGGGUCGUUAGAGAGUGUCGGCGGUGGGGGCUCGUCUCGCGGCUUAUGCGCUAGAUGGUGGAGUAGUUGCUUACCAAGGGUUUGACGGGUAGGCGGCCUGAGAGGGUGACCAGGCACAUUGGGACUGAGAGACGGCGCAGAAGGCUACGGGAGGCAGCAGUGGAGAAUAUUGCACAAUAGGCGGAAGUCAGAGGCGACAACGCCCGGUGCGGGAAGACGGCUUUCGGGUUAUAAACCGCUGUCGCCGGUGACGAAGCGUGAGUGACGGUAAUGGGUAAAAAAGCACCGGCUAACUACGUG
rnacentral:rRNA from 1 species